GGCAGAGGGUGCAAACGUUGCUCGGAAUUACUGGGCGUAAAGCGCGUGUAGGCGGACCACCAAGUCGGACGUGAAAGCCCUGAGCUCAACUCAGGAACUGCAUCCGAAACUGGCGGUCUGGAGUAGUGGAGAGGAAAGCAGAAUUCCUGGUGUAGAGGUGAAAUUCGUAGAUAUCAGGAGGAACACCGGUGGCGAAGGCGGCUUUCUGGACACUUACUGACGCUGAGACGCGAAAGCGUGGGGAGCAAACAGG
rnacentral:rRNA from 1 species